rnacentral:rRNA from 1 species
UACGUAGGGUGCAAGCGUUGUCCGGAAUUAUUGGGCGUAAAGAGCUCGUAGGCGGUCUGUCGCGUCGGAUGUGAAAACCCAGGGCUCAACCCUGGGCCUGCAUUCGAUACGGGCAGACUAGAGUUCGGUAGGGGAGACUGGAAUUCCUGGUGUAGCGGUGAAAUGCGCAGAUAUCAGGAGGAACACCGGUGGCGAAGGCGGGUCUCUGGACCGAAACUGACGCUGAGGAGCGAAAGCGUGGGGAGCAAACAGG